UCAAAAAAACCUGCGCAUUCCCUAGCCAGUUGGAAAUCCUGGGAGCCCCAGGCUAACCUGAAACUUGUCAGGCUGCCUACAGACAGGUAGAGAACACAGCUGAGCUCAUGGUGCAGGAGGGUAGAAAGAUAGCAGUUUCGGAGCAAGCACACUGUUUACGAUCCCAAUUCCUCCACCCAGCAGUGGGGUGGCCCUGCUAAGUUCUCAGACUUUCCACUUCCAUUUCCUCCUCUGGCACAGGGGAAUAGCACCUCCCCCCAGGAAUACAGUGAGAAUUAAAUUAGAUCCCAUGCAUACAGUUGCUGAGACGGGGCUGAACACACAGUUGCCUCUUAUUUGAGGUUUCUUUCCAUGAGAUCCACCCACCAUGGGACUCUGCUGUUUUAGAGUGACGCUGAGAAAGUUGGUGCUCUCCUUAAUUUGGAGGAGGGUGAGAAUAGACCCGCCAACAAGCUUAUUCCUCUUUCAAUUAGGUAUGUUGCUCCUGGAAGCCUCUGAAAGGUAAUAUGACUAGGUACUAACCCAAGGAAAACCUUGAGAAGAGAUUCUUUUUUUUUUUAUUUUUUAAAAAGAUUUUAUUUAUUUAUUUAAUUGACACAGAGAGAGAGAACAUAAACAGGGGGAAUGGGAGAGGGAGAAGCUGGCUUCCCUCUGAGCAGGGAGCCCGAUGCGGGGCUCGAUCCCAGGACCCUGGGAUCACGACCUGAGCCGAAGGCAGACGCUUAACCAGCUGAGCCACCCAGGUGCUCCGAGAAGAGAUGAAGCUGGACCAUUGGAGAAGGGAGACGUAUGUGGGUGUGUGAGCGCACAUGAGCAUGUGUGUGCAUGCGUGUAAUUGUGUGUGUGUGUGCACGUGCACGUGUUGGGGAGUAGUAGGUGAGCAUAUAACCCAGGACCAUCACUGUCACUCAGAAUCUACCCCCACAUUGCUCUUCUUGGAGCUCACUCCUAAAACUCCAUGGGAAGAGAGGAUGAUGACACGCACAUAGUCACCUGGUCCCCACCUUCUGCAUUGCAGGCGUGUGCAUACUUUCAAUGGCAGGCAGCUAAGGCUGUCAGGGAGAGCUGUGUGUUGCCUAAGAGGGACCAAGGAACUCCAUCACCCUGCAUUUUUUACUACUAAACUCACCUAAACCUGCUUAAGUUCAACAGAAAUCCUUGUUGGGACCAAAUUCUUAUUCCAUUAGUCUACCUACGGAUUUGUAGCUAUGCUUCAGGUAAUACAUAGAUUUCUUAUACUUUUCAUGGUUAAUAAUUAAGAGGCAUUUAUAUUGCCUCUUAAUUUUAUAAAAUAAUCCAAGAAAAAUACAGAGGUGGCAUAGUAUAUUUAUCAAAAUGACUGCCUCAGAGGCUGGAAUGCCUGGGUUCAAGUUCAACUUUACCAUUGGACAAGUUAUUUAAUUUCUCUGUUUCAGUCUUCUCAUCUAUAAAUGUCAGUAAUACUACCUGAUUCAUAGGCUGUUAUGUGAAUUAAUGAGUUAAUAUUUAUGUAGCUCUUAGAAUAGUACCUGCCAUAUUAUAAGUACAAAAUCUUAUAUAUACAUAUUAAAUAAAAAUUUGUUUUAAAAGCACACAUAUAUUACUAUAAACAUAACACAGCACAAUCCUGCAACUGUUGGUUCAACAGUGUCCAUAGUACUGAUAAAGAUAACAGGUAACUGCACCCUGUAUGGACCAGGCAUUAUAUGCACUAUUUUCGUUCCAUCUUCACCACCAUCCUGUACGUCCUUUACAUUCAAUAUCAUUUCAUCAGUAAGAAAACGGAGAUUGAGAAUUCAGAUUCCUCCUGGGACAAGCCGUGAAGACAGUACAAUCCAUGUCCCCAACACUUGUGCACACACAAAUACCCAUUGAACUACAGUCGAAGAUAAGACUUGUUUUUUAACUUAUAAAGUGCAUAAAUCAAAGUACACCCCAACUAUUACUUAUUAAUCUGUUUAGUGAGUUUUAGGUAGGAGGCCUUCCGCAGGCAAGGAGAUCCUUUUUGGAACUCACACCUUCCCGGCAGAAGCAAUUUACAAUGCCUCGUGUUGUUUGUCCUGGUUGACGCUAGGUGGCGCUCCGAACUAACCAACUCUUAUUUUAGAGGCAAUUUCUCCAGGCCUUUGGGUAAUUAUUAACCUCUCAUUACACACUUAACAGUUUUCUCUCCCUUUUGGUGAACAGAAAUUACUAUCCCCAUUUGACAGACGGUGAUCCGGGGGCCCCUGGGAAGCCCUAAGACUACAGGACGUCCAGAGGCAGGAAAGAACAUGAGAGGAACAAAUUGAGUGACUUGGACUCUUGUCUAAAUGGUGUAGAGAAAUCAGGCCGGAUAAUUCUUUCAUUCCACGAAGAACUCAUCAGCACCCUCGAGAAGCCCAGCACUGUGCUGGGUUCGGGGAAUAAGAAAAGGGCAAUGACCACAGAGAGGAGGAGGAAACUUGUGCAGCGGUGAAUACCAGAACUGGCUCUUCUAGCGCUUAGUAGGGAACAGAAUUCUGAGAUUCCUGGUUAAGUGUAUCAGUCAUGACCAUGACGAUAGUCCUAAUAAGAGUAACAAUAAACGUAUUAAGCAGUGUGUAUUGAAAGGGUUGGUGACUUCGCGAUGUGUGGAAGAUCAACCCAGCACCUUGGCUGUGACACACACUCCUCAAACAAAGCCCCAAAGGACACUGCACGGAAGUGUGGGCUUAUCCAAGUCCAACAGAAGAGGCCCUUGAGAUGCAGAACAUUAAGUAAUUGAUUUUAAAACACCCGAUUGCUAACUGGUAACUUUAAAGAGUUUUAGAUAAAGAACUGACUAUAAAGGUUAUGUUUUUAACCUCUGAAGUGUCCAGGCCUAGUCGGAUUGUCGAAGGAUAACGGUGUAAUACAGAUUGUCUUUGGCCUCACCCUUUCCUGCCCCAAGGAAUUUACGCCGCAGGAUGCUGUUUGCGCGACUGGACACUAGAUGGCGCUCCAGAUAAAAACUGCCCGCAGCUGCCGGCACCGUCUUCAAUCAUUAACCUUGGGUUGACAUUGUACUACCCAGAUUUCAAACCUCAUUCAUACAGUCUGUUGACGUGACAGUAUUGAGAAGCAGUGAGGCUGGAAUAAGGGCCCAGAACAGUCGAGCAGGCAGGCCAGCUGAGGACUUUGGGGGUCAGUACUCCUCAUAAGGAGAUACAUUGUCUUGGACAAGAAACCUGCGAGGCUUGAUCCACUCACUCCCCCAAACAGUUACUAAGGAGGAGAAAUACGAAUGACUAUGCUUGCACUGCCUACAGUUUAGAAUAAAGAAGAAAACACAUGGGAAGGGAAUGGACAGGAGUGCAGAGCUGAGGCCCAGGGAGGAACGGGUCUGGAAACAAUCUCGGAGAAGCCACGUCAACUCUAUCUUAAAUGAACCAACCUGCAGUUAACCACACUGCUGGACACGUCAGUUUCUGCUCCUUCUCCAACCUCCACCCUUUAACGGUAAAGGAUUUUACAAAGAAGGCAUAAACCCUCAAAGAUGAAGAGGAUGGGAGAGGAGACAACCCAUGAACGAGGUCAACAGAAUUUUGGAAGCUGGAGAGCACAUGGAUGAACGCCUUGCCAGACCAGAGAAAGCUGUGGUCAACCCCAGCAAGGGGACGAAACCAGUAAGAAACAAAUAAAUUCCCCACCACAGAAGCCUAGAGAGAUAUAAGUCUUUGAGACACCAGGUAUCUCUGAGGUCAGGGUUGUGAGCAGGACUGGAAAUAGGUAGGUUGGUUGGAAACCUGUGGAAGAGGCACUCUGAUGCCCAGGUUACGUCCCCGCACCAACAGCCAGGCAGCUACUGGAGCCCAAGUUGGCAGGAGACUGAGGGUUUUCCUUGUAUGACAUUCA